rnacentral:rRNA from 1 species
AGUGAACGCUGGCGGCAGGCCUAAUACAUGCAAGUCGAACGGCAGCACAGUGGAGCUUGCUCCAUGGGUGGCGAGUGGCGGACGGGUGAGGAAUACAUGGGAAUCUGCCCAGUCGUGGGGGAUAACGUAGGGAAACUUACGCUAAUACCGCAUGCGCCCUUCGGGGGAAAGCCGGGGACCUUCGGGCCUGGCGCGAUUGGAUGAGCCCAUGUUCGAUUAGCUAGUUGGCGGGGUAAAGGCCCACCAAGGCGACGAUCGAUAGCUGGUCUGAGAGGAUGAUCAGCCACACUGGGACUGAGACACGGCCCAGACUCCUACGGGAGGUAGCAGUAGGGAAUAUUGGACAAGGGGCGCAAGCCUGAUCCAGCCAUGCCGCGUGAGUGAAGAAGGCCCUCGGGUUGUAAAGCUCUUUUGUCCGGGAAGAAAAGCAUCGGGCUAAUACCUCGGUGUUCUGACGGGACCGGAAGAAUAAGCACCGGCUAACUUCG